rnacentral:rRNA from 1 species
CCCGGGCCUUGUACACACCGCCCGUCACACCACGAAAGUUGGUAACACCCGAAGCCAGUGGCCCAACCCUCGGGAGGGAGCUGUCGAAGGUGGGAUCAGCGAUUGGGUG